UUCUUAGCUGGGGAUUCACCACCACCAGCGGCUAAGACGAAAGUGCUACUGGGGGAAUAAAGGAUGUAACAGCACACAAGUCGGUGGCGAAGAAAGAGCCGAUUCCUUGAACGUCUUUCGGGU
rnacentral:ncRNA from 1 species